GGGAAGGUGGCUCAGUGGUAGAGCGCUUGCCUUGCAUGCAUGAGGCCCUGAAGAGCUGAGGGAUGGUGCUCAGGCCCCA
rnacentral:tRNA from 1 species